CCUAGGGGCAGCAGUGGGGAAUAUUGGACAAUGGGCGAAAGCCUGAUCCAGCCAUGCCGCGUGUGUGAAGAAGGCCUUCGGGUUGUAAAGCACUUUCAGUGGGGAAGAAAGCCUUGGGGCUAAUACCCUCGAGGAAGGACAUCACCCACAGAAGAAGCACCGGCUAACUCCGUGCCAGCAGCCGCGGUAAUACGGAGGGUGCGAGCGUUAAUCGGAAUUACUGGGCGUAAAGCGCGCGUAGGCGGUCUGAUAAGCCGGUUGUGAAAGCCCCGGGCUCAACCUGGGAACGGCAUCCGGAACUGUCAGGCUAGAGUGCAGGAGAGGAAGGUAGAAUUCCCGGUGUAGCGGUGAAAUGCGUAGAGAUCGGGAGGAAUACCAGUGGCGAAGGUGGCCUUCUGGACUGACACUGACGCUGAGGUGCGAAAGCGUGGGUAGCAAACAGGAUUAGAUACCCUUGUAGUC
rnacentral:rRNA from 1 species